AAACGAUUGAUGCAUUGGCACAAUUUACAUCUGGGCUCCAUCUUGCAUCUGGCUUACCUGAUAAAAGAAAAAAAAAAAAAAAGCUCUUUGAUUGAAAUAUAUCAUAAGUGCACAGCUGUUAUGCACAAAACAUGCUCAUUAAUUUCCUUAUGCCUACAGCCCAUUAGUAGAAUGGCUGCAAUAUCCACAGAUGCUGCAUUCAGCUUUUUAACCCCAUUCCUUGUAAUGGGUUCCCAG